rnacentral:misc_RNA from 1 species
GUUAGGGAGUGGCCAUUCUUUAUAUCAAAUUCUAACCCAUAUUCAAUCCAAACUCUACCCAAGUCCAUCAUCCAUAGAUUACUCAGAAGUCCAACAAAAGAAGAGGUAGAAGAUGAUGAUGAUGAAUAUGAUGCCCUAAAUUUAAUUAGGUCUCCUAAUUGCAGGCCCAUAAAGACAGACCUAAUCAUCCAUGGCCACUCCCUAACGCAACUCUGUCCAUUCUCAAAACCCUACAUAUAAAUACCUCAACCUCGAUUUGCCGCAACUUUUCUCCGCUCACCAUUUCUAUCGGCGGGUCGCUGCAGCUAGAGAAGAAAUGGGGAAAGGGACAGGAAGCUUUGGGAAGAGGAGGAAUAAGACCCACACCCUCUGCGUUCGAUGUGGUCGCCGGAGUUUCCACCUUCAAAAGAGCCGUUGCGGUGCUUGUGCCUAUCCUGCCAGCCGCGUCAGAAAAUAUAACUGGAGCGUUAAGGCUAUUCGCCGAAAGACAACUGGAACCGGCCGCAUGAGGUACCUCCGUCACGUCCCGCGCCGGUUCAAAACUAACUUCAGGGAAGGAACACAAGCAACUCCAAGGAACAAGGGAGCUGCGGCAGCCUCUUCGUAAGCCUUAAAAGGGCAAUGCAAGUCUGUUUUGUUUUCAUAUUUAUCACUGUUUAAUAGACAUUCCUUCUUGUAUGAACAUUAACAAGUAUUUACUGUUAUGUCAUGAUUUUGGGUGCUUAUUACCUUUUAUUGCACUCAUGGCAUGUUCAAUUAUACUCAACCAUUGGGCUAGAAACCUAAUGGUGGAAUGCUUGCCUAGGAGGUUAGUGUUCAAACCUUGACAAUGACAAAAUCCUCUUUAAGAAUUUUCAGAGUACCAAAACAGAAUUUCCAUAUUUUCAUAAUCAUCGUUUUCAAUUGUGUAAGAUUACAGUGGUUCAUUUUAAUAUUUCAAACACAAAUAGACAAUCCAACAGCUGCCUUUCAGAUAUUGAAGAACCGAGUCCCUGGCCCUGCCUUUUGGGAUCGCUUCUUUCAUUUCCCAAUUCGCUGUUUAGGCGAUCUAGUCUGCCUCAAGUAAGUUGAGUAAUCGCUUCUGCGUCUAAGGGAUUCAGACUUAAAAGAGUUGAGCUUGAGUGAAUCAAUUUCUAGCCGUACAAAUAUAACGACAACAGCUUUAUUCCCAAAUCAUUUCUUGCAAAAUAUUGGAAUUUGAUAUCCAGAUUAAGGAGGUAACUAUGCCAGUGAUCGAAAGCAAACACCUCAACAUGAAAGGUCUGCCAGUACAACAAAUCAAUGCAGACGGUUUUUAAAUUCAAGAAGACAUACCAGUAAGACUAGAAAAAAAUUCUCGAUUCUGCAUUAUGUUUAUGUUAGUGUUUGAGCCAGUAGUUCCGCAGUUGAGCCAUGUGCAGAAGUAUCUCAUCACGACCUUGAUUGGUAACGCUACUGGUCAUAAUCCAAGGUGGUGCUGUCUCGAAGAAUCCAUUUAUCAACGCAUGAAAAUCCUUCACAUUUUCUUCGGGCCUUUUCCCUCCAUUCUUUUUCUUCUUUCUCUUGUCACAUUUGGUAAAAAUCAAUGUCAUGGGUAUCUGAAAGACCACAGAUUAGCCUCUAGUUUUCCCCUUUAUCCAAUCACAAUUUAUAGUGAACACCAAAAUUAUCAUCUUUGAAGAGUUCUAAAUGCAGAGUUGGAACACCAUUGUGCAUUUUAUGGCAAUUUGGAGGGAAAACAAUGUAUCUGACACCCUGACAAGUUUUACUUAUAAAAUUUCAUGAAGAAAGAGAAGCCGUAAUUGUAUAAAUAUCAUCAAGAAAAAUUACUAAUUAAGUUAAAAAUGACAGGAUUAAAAUUGAUAAUAAGCCUAAUGUAUCUAACGUGGGGUCAAACCAUCAUUUUGUAUCAUUUGCUUUUUUACUUGAAUUAGAUAGGGGGGAGUAAAUAUAAAGAAAAAGACUUUACCUGAUUCUGACCCAGCCAACUGGCAUAUUCAAGAUCUAUUUUCUUUGCAGGGAUACUAGCAUCUAUAAGAAGGAACACUGAGACCAAGGAUGAACGGUUGAGAAAAUAAUCUUUUGUAAACUUGUCCCAAUCUGUCCGAAGUUCCUGGGGAGCAGCUGCAUACCCAUAUCCAGGCAAAUCAACAAGGUACCAGCUAUCAUUGAUCCGAAAAUGAUUGAUGCAUUGCGUCUUCCCAGGUUUCUUAGAGGUAAGCGCAAGCCGCUUUCUUCUCACAAGCGAAUUGAGCAGUGAGGAUUUGCCAACAUUAGACCUUCCCACAAGCGCAAACUCAGGCAAGCCAUCAGCAGGGCAAUCCUCAGUCCUCACGCUGCUCUUCACGAACUCAGCCUGCACAAUCUGGGCAUUCCUCGCGUACUUACUCAAUACUAUGUUGGACCCUUUCAAGAUUCUGGUACUCAGGGAAGCAUCAUUGAGAGAAACCUCAGUCUCUGGCGGCACGAAGAGCCUGUCAAGUGAAAUUUGGAUUUGGGUUUCUUCUGGGGAAUCCAAAAUUUCCUGGUUGUUUGAGGAGAUAUGGGAGAUGGGCACAGGCUCAGUAGUGGAUAAAGUGGUUUUGGGUCUAACAACGGUGGGGGGCUUCAGUCUGGGUAAGAGAUUUAAGUCGAAGUGAGUGUGCAGGGGGGUGAAGAUAGAGAAGCGGAAUCUUGGAAGAUGAGUGAGAACCAUAUCUCCGGUUAUCUCUCUAGCUUCAGGUUACGAGGAGGAAACCAUGAGCAAGAUUGCAGAGGCUGUAGACUGAAAAAUCUGAGGGCGGAGAAGAAAACAAGUUGGUCCUUGUUUGGGCGAAAACAUCUUUAAUCCGGCCCGAUUUGAAGUCGAACCGGAAAUGUUAUUGGCGGGCCAAACAAAUCCUACACCCAAGCAAGACGCUGGCUCCUGCAAAUGAAAAUCAAGGGUGUGUUUGGAA